AGAGAGAGACAUGCGCGCAUAUCAAUAAGCGGAGGAAAAGAAACUAACAAGGAUUCCCUAGUAACGGCGAGUGAAGCGGGAAGAGCUCAAAUUAGAAAUCUUAAAGGGUUUCCCUUGACGAAUUGUAGUUUAAAGAGGUGUUUUCUGUCGGAGUUUUCGGUAAAAGUUCUUUGGAAUAGGACAUCAUAGAGGGUGAGAAUCCCGUAUUUGACCAUUACUUUCCAACUUUGUGAUACACUUUCAAAGAGUCGGAUUGUUUGGGAAUGCAGUCCAAAAUGGGUGGUAAAUUUCAUCUAAAGCUAAAUAUUGGCGAGAGACCGAUAGCGAACAAGUACCGUGAGGGAAAGAUGAAAAGAACUUUGAAAAGAGAGUUAAACAGUACGUGAAAUUGUCAAAAGGGAGGCGUUUGACACCAGUGUUGUUUAGUUGAAAAUCAAUUCAAUAGUUUUUGAUUCUAAGUAGUAUUGACUUCAUCAGCUUGCUGCUUUCUUCUCAGAAAUUAUUGAAUGCACUUUUCAGUUAACAAGUCAACAUCAAUUUCUUUUGUUGUAAAAGGGUAAGAGGAAGGUGGCUUGCGCUUCGGCUCAAGUGUUUAUAGCCUUUUAUCUCUGCAAUCGGAGAGAUUGAGGUCUGCAGCGUAGAUCCUUCGGGGUUAGAUACAUUGGUGCUAAGCUAUAGCCUUGUAUAGACAACUUGUUGACUAUGCUCAGUCAUGUAGCUUACUCGCUGAUGCUAUUUUACCUACGCUUAGGAUGUUGAUAGUCACAGCGUGUAC
rnacentral:rRNA from 1 species